rnacentral:misc_RNA from 1 species
AAGUCGUAACAAGGUUUCCGUAGGUGAACCUGCGGAAGGAUCAUUACUGAGAUAGUGUGGGGGGAUGUUAUAUUCUCCCUCACAACAUUUGCUCGGGUUGGGAGUGAUUGAGGGAAGUGUGCUUGUGCACAACAUUUGCACACCCUUCAAUCUCGACCACCCAGACAUUCACGAGUGUUGUGUGUGACUGUGUAAUAAACGAUACAUUAUUAUGACAACUUUUAACAAUGGAUCUCUUGGCUCUU